AUUGAACGCUGGCGGCAUGCUUUACACAUGCAAGUCGAACGGCAGCACGGACUUCGGUCUGGUGGCGAGUGGCGAACGGGUGAGUAAUACAUCGGAACGUACCCAGUAAUGGGGGAUAACUAUCCGAAAGGAUAGCUAAUACCGCAUACGCCCUACGGGGGAAAGAGGGGGAUCGCAAGACCUCUUGUUAUUGGAGCGGCCGAUGGCUGAUUAGCUAGUUGGUAGGGUAAAGGCCUACCAAGGCAACGAUCAGUAGCGGGUCUUAGAGGACGAUCCGCCACACUGGAACUGAGACACGGUCCAGACUCCUACGGGAGGCAGCAGUGGGGAAUCUUGGACAAUGGGCGCAAGCCUGAUCCAGCAAUGCCGCGUGCGUGAAGAAGGCCUUCGGGUUGUAAAGCGCUUUUGUCAGGGAGCAAAUCCUUGUGGCUAAUACCCACCGGGGAUGAGAGUACCUGAAGAAUAAGGACCGGCUAACUACGUGCCAGCCGCCGCCGCAGUAA
rnacentral:rRNA from 1 species